rnacentral:rRNA from 1 species
GACGAACGCUGGCGGCGUGCUUAACACAUGCAAGUCGAGCGAGAAACCUUCGGGUUUCUAGCGGCGGACGGGUGAGUAACACGUGGGUAACCUGCCUCAAAGAGGGGAAUAGCCUCCCGAAAGGGAGAUUAAUACCGCAUAAUAUUAAAAUUUCGCAUGAAGUUUUAAUUAAAGGAGUAAUCCGCUUUGAGAUGGACCCGCGGCGCAUUAGCUAGUUGGAGAGGUAACGGCUCACCAAGGCCACGAUGCGUAGCCGACCUGAGAGGGUGAUCGGCCACAUUGGAACUGAGACACGGUCCAGACUCCUACGGGAGGCAGCAGUGGGGAAUAUUGCACAAUGGGCGAAAGCCUGAUGCAGCAACGCCGCGUGAGUGAUGACGGUCUUCGGAUUGUAAAGCUCUGUCUUUUGGGACGAUAAUGACGAUACCAAAGGAGGAAGCCACGGCUAACUACGUGCCAGCCGCCGCGGUAAUAC